UAUAUCGGAACGUACCUAGUAAUGGGAAAUAACUAGCUGAAAGGUUAGCUAAUGCCGCAUACGACCUACGGGUGAAACAGGGAAUCUUCGGACCUUGCGUUAUUAGAGCGGCCGAUAUCUGAUUAGCUUGUUGGUGGGGUAAUGGCCUACCAAGGCGACGAUCAGUAGCUGGUCUGAGAGGACGAUCAGCCACACUGGGAACUGAGACACGGUCCAGACUCCUACGGGAGGCAGCAGUGGGGAAUAUUGCACAAUGGGGGAAACCCUGAUGCAGCCAUGCCGCGUGUGUGAAGAAGGCCU
rnacentral:rRNA from 1 species